rnacentral:lncRNA from 1 species
AUGCUCGCGGCAGCCUGUCAUAUAGCACGUGAAACACCAAGCUGUAAGACGAAACCCGUAACCGCACCGGGGCCCCGACUCCAUGCCUUCCGGUCACCAGGCUCCGCCAGCCGAGGUCUUCCUGGUUACGUAACUAAACCAGGAUCAAAACAAAUGACUCUGUGUGCCACAAAAGAAUCGACGUGCUGUGAUGUUCCCGACAACAAAAACAGAGCAACCUGUUCCCUGCCAGGCGAUCGAGCCAUCCGAAGCGGGAGAGUGCGGACAAGGAGCCCCAAGAGUCCUUGCGUUGGAAGUGUGCGGGAAAGCGGAGGCGCAGAGCGGUGAAGGCACUCACCAGUGGCUGGCCGUGUCACCCCCCCUCCCUCUCUCUCUCGCUCUCUCUUUGUCUCCCUGCUCCGGCUGCUCCCUGGUCCUCACCGUCCCUUGCUUCCAGGCGAAAUGAGCUGCCGCUUCGCUCGAGACCCGGUUUCUAUGGCACUGUGAGCAAGAGGCAGCCAACGAGAGGCUUACUCCGCUGAUGCCGCUGCUCCUGCUGCUGCUGCAAAUGUCUAGGGGCAAGCACUCGAGCGCAGCCCGGAGAGGGGUUGCAGACGCACAUCCUACAUAACCUCGGCUAAUCCCUGCCAAUGGUACAUCGGGGUGCCCUAUAGCUAAACCCCCCGCCGUUCCACCUCCUUCACUGUUUUUCCGUUAUAUCUUUACCAUGCUCACUGACCAUGUGUUGUUUUCAUGUUGGCAACUGUGGGCUGGGGCGGUGGGGGGAGUAAAAAACAAGUGUCACUGAUCUGGUGUUGAGAAUGAAAAGACAGACAAAAGAAGGAUGCGUGCAACAUGAAGUGCAUUAAUAUUAAUAGGACUUCUGCAUGAAUAUCAAACAGAGCUAUGGUCAGCUGGCCCCAUUGAACAUCCAAGGCUGGUGUGCAUGUUUAUUUGAUAAAAUUUUUAUUAAUGGAGGAAAGGGUAGAAUUAAUAUGUUUAAGAAAGAUGAAAGGAAGAGGGGGAGGUGGUCUUCAUAGAGCACCAUUGCUUUGUUCCAAUGCUUAGGUUCAGCCGUUACAGAUGCGCGCGCACGCACACACACACACGCAGAGACACACACAAGAGCGCACUCUGAUCCACAAAACACAUGUCAUUGAUUUAACAAUAGGCUUCCUAGUGAAAAACUGCCUCCAUCUUCACCAUAGUGCAGGGAUCACGCAACCCAUGGGCACACCCCACUCCCAUCCCUCGUGGUCACCCCCUUCACACCGAUCGCAGUGCUACGAGCCCUUCAUAGCUCACUUCCAGCCAGAUUAGAAUCAAUGUAUUCUGCAGCGCACUGGACUGGUGAGAGAUGAUGCUUGAGGAAAGGAACCCCCCCCAGCUCCCUGCUCUGCAUCUCCACUCGGUGUGAGGCAAGGGAGGAUGCACGGCAAAGACAGUUGAGGAAAAAUUACCAUAGACACCUGAAAUUGGUUUACAGCAAUAAAAAAAUAAGCAUCGUCUUUAAGGUGGAUUAU